CCGUCCCGGAAGUGGACGGUGGAGGAAGAAAGCAGUGGGUUGGUGGGGAGGAAUGUUUCUCGAGAUUCUAGGUGAGGAGUCACAGAACUUCUGUGGCGUGUGUUGACAGGACGGACUCAGAGGUUUUUGUCACUUGACCAGAAGGAGCCAGCGUCUCUGCAGAGCCCGACCUGUUUGUGGUGAGGCAGAAGGUGGCUCAGGUUGAGUGAGCCCCGGGUCUUCUGGUAGAAGUCCAUCUGAGAAAGCCAGUCCUUUUUCCGUAGAGACCUUAGGGAUCAGCUGAUGCUUUAGUGGCUUAAUGGCCCAGCGGGCAGUGUGGCUCAUAAGCCGCGAGCCGGGAACUCCAUUUUGUGGCACCGUCAGAUUCUCCAGACGGUAUCCAACUGUUGAAAAACGAGCCAAAGUCUUCAAUGGAGCAAGUUAUGUGCCUAUUCCUGAAGAUGGUCCCUUUCUUAAAGCACUACUCUUUGAACUUAGAUUAUUGGAUGAUGAUGAGGACUUCAUAGAGAGUCGUGAUAGCUGUUCACACAUCAAUAAAACAUCUGUCUAUGGGCUCCUCAUAGGAGGUGGAGAACUCUGGCCAGUUGUUGCUUUUCUGAAGAAUAACAUGAUAUAUGCUUGUGUUCCACUAGUUGAACAAACUUUAUCCCCUCAUCCACCGUUAAUUAGCAUUAGUGGAAUUUCACAAGGCUUUGAACUUCUUUUUGGAGUACAGGAUUUUCUUUCCUUGAGUCAAAAAAAUGACACUGAGCUAAAUACAAAAUUGAACCAAUUACCUGAUUUGCUUCUACAAGCUUGUCCAUUUGGAACUUUGUUGGAUGCCAAUUUACAGAAUUCAUUGGAUAGUAUUAAUUUUGCUUCUGUGACUCAUUCACAAAAACAGCCAGCCUGGAAAGUUGGAACAUACAAAGGAAAACCACAAGUUUCUAUUUCUAUCACCGAAAAGGUAAAAUCCAUGCAAUACGAUAAACAGGAUAUAGCAGAUACAUGGCAGGUCGUUGGAACUGUCACUUGCAAGUGUGACUUAGAAGGAAUCAUGCCAAAUGUUACCAUCAGCUUGAGUCUCCCCACCAAUGGGUCUCCACUUCAGGAUAUUCUAGUUCAUCCUUGUGUGACUUCUCUUGACUCUGCCAUUCUGACUUCUAGUAGCAUUGAUGCAAUGGAUGAUUCUGCAUUUAGCGGCCCUUACAAAUUUCCACUCACACCUCCCUUAGAGUCAUUUAACUUAUGCUACUAUACUUCCCAGGUCCCUGUUCCACCGAUUUUGGGUUUUUAUCAAAUGAAAGAGGAAGAAAUACAAGUAAAAAUAACAGUUAAUUUAAAACUUCAUGAAAGUGUGAAAAAUAAUUUUGAGUUCUGUGAAGCUCAUAUACCUUUUUAUAAUAGGGGUCCAAUCACACAUGUGGACUACAAAGUGAGUUUUGGCCAGCUUGAAGUAUUUCGAGAGAAAAGCUCAUUGGUCUGGAUUAUUGGACAGAAGUUCCCCAAAUCAAUGGAAAUUAAUCUUUCUGGAACUGUAACUUUUGGAGCCAAGAGUCAUGAGAAGCAGUCAUUUGAUGAGAUUUGCAUUGGAGGUACAGCAUAUUUAAAGGAAACAGUGAGCACUUCUGACCAAAGUGGUCAAGGAAAGUUUUGCAGUAGAGAUGGAGUUUAAGCAAAACUCUGAGGCCCAGAUAAACAUGAAAAUGAAGCUUUGAAGAUUGAUGAACAUUUAUAUAGCUUCAUUUUAGGAUCUUAGAUUAUACACUCACUGGUUGUUAUGCGGAUCAGCAUUCAGUUCAAGUUUUUGCAUCAGGAAAACCAAAAAUAAGUACACACCGGAAACUAAUUUCUUCUGACUAUUACAUCUGGAAUUCUAAGGCUCCUGCUCCAGUAACAUAUGGAUCAUUAUUACUGUAAUUAUCUCAUAUUUAAAUAGGAUUUAUAUAAUGGUAACAUAGUUCAAAUCAUUUGUCUUUUAUUUUUAAUGUGUAUGCAUAUAAACUAUGAAUGAAAAAAUCAUUGAGUGAUUUAAUUAUAAAAAUGUUAUUGUUUAAUGUUUUUAGAUUGACAGUGUUUGAAAGAACAUUUUAAAGGCUAAUGUCUCCUAUUUUGUUACCCUUUGAUUUUAUUCAAAUAAGAUUCAGAGCAUAAAACAGUCAUGAUUCACUUUAGGCUUAUUUUAGACUAGUCCUGGUCACUCUACCAUACAUGCUCUUUCCUGUCCCUGUGGCAGACAUGGCCAAUCAGUCACAGGCUUCUUUCUCCACUGAGCCUUCCUGGAUACGGGCUCAGUCUCCUCAUUGCAAAGGUGCAGGCAGCCAUUCCCAAUGGAUUGUAGAUGAUGUGCAAGAUAAAAAACUCUUUAACCUUUCAAACCUGAGUAGUAAGCUCCUAGUACAAUGUGUUGUUACAGAAUACCAGAUACCACAUCAGAAACCACUGUCAGUCUCUUGGAAAAAAAACAAAAACAAAAAACAAAAAAACAGUCAAUGAAAACAAAGUAAUGUUGUUUAAUUAGUAACCUGUUCUUAAUCAGAACUAUCUUAUUGACUAAUAAAGAAUCUGCAUAAUUCUAUAUAAGGUGUUUGUUUAUCUGUUCUAGAGUUACUUUACUUUUCAGGUGAACUUAUUAAUCUGCCACAACAACAUUUUGCUCAGGAUGUCAGUAAGCAUACUAAGAGGAGUGGGAUACCUUCAAAAAAUGAGCAUAGUGUUUUUGUGAUCACUUAAUGCGUGCAAAUUUUUAAAAAUAAGUUUAGGAAUAAUACUGUUUUUCAUGUUUAUUAUAUGAAAGUUCUUAAUGAAUUCAGGUAAAAAUUCAAAAGCUGUUCUGUGAGUAGAGAGUAUUAGUCUUAUUUCAAUCUCAUGUGGCAUAUUUUGUCACUCCUGCUUUCUUAUUAGCAUUCUCUUGAUUUCUUUAGGAACCACCUGUACUCUUUAUUCUCUACCUGUCUUUACAAUUAUAUGUCUCAUUCUAUUUUCAAAGCAGUUCAUUGUCAAGUUGGACUUUAAGUGACCAUUCAAGAAAACAUGAAAUCUCAAGAUCCUUAAAACUUAAUCCAUGUCAAGUUUCUUUUUACAGAAUAGCAUUAGAAGCAUUAUAAAAAAUAUGCAUUACAGAUUAAUAUUCAAUUAAAUUAUCUCUUGGUUUCUAUUUCUUAAUGAGUCUCCUAAGGAAGAGCUUAAAGAAAGCUUCUAACUCCUUGAAAGAGAGCUAUGAUAGUUUGAAGGGAUAUUGCAAAUAAAUUUAGGAUUUAAAAUAUGAUUUUUUUAAUUAGGGUCAAUCUCACUCAUUAUAAAUUCUCAUUUUCUCAAGGCAUUAUCAUGGCAGAAUGCUCCAUGUUCAAAAUUAUCCCAAGUAACAAAGAAAAUAGAAUAACUGCCUGACCAGGACUUUAACUUAUUAUUCUAGCUUAAUCAUAGAUAAUCAGUAGUAAAAACUUUUCUUUUGAAAGAAGGAAAAAGCCAUUUUCCUUAAGUUAUUUGAUCUCUCUUAAACUCAAGGGAAGCUUAACAUUUAACUUAUGUUAAUAUUAAUGGAGCCAUUUGGACAUCUUGAUUAUUGUAUAAAUGUUGGGUAGAGUACACUAAGAUAGGCAAGAGGCAUUUAUCUAGUAAGUACACAGAUAUUCAGUAUAA